AUGGUUAAGUUAGAAAGGGCGCACGGUGGAUGCCUUGGCACUAGGAGCCGAUGAAGGACGGGACGAACACCGAUAUGCUUCGGGGAGCUGUAAGCAAGCUUUGAUCCGGAGAUUUCCGAAUGGGGAAACCCACUGCUCGUAAUGGAGUAGUAUCCAUACUUGAAUACAUAGAGUAUGAGAAGGCAUACCCGGGGAACUGAAACAUCUAAGUACCCGGAGGAAGAGAAAGCAAAUGCGAUUCCCUGAGUAGCGGCGAGCGAAACGGGAACAGCCCAAACCAAGAGGCUUGCCUCUUGGGGUUGUAGGACACUCUAUACGGAGUUACAAAGGAACGAUAUAAGCGAAGAGGUCUGGAAAGGCCCGCCAAAGAAGGUAACAGCCCUGUAACUGAAAUGUUGUUCUCUCCAGAGUGGAUCCUGAGUACGGCGGAACACGUGAAAUUCCGUCGGAAUCCGGGAGGACCAUCUCCCAAGGCUAAAUACUCCCUAGUGACCGAUAGUGAACCAGUACCGUGAGGGAAAGGUGAAAAGCACCCCGGAAGGGGAGUGAAAUAGAUCCUGAAACCGUGUGCCUACAAGUAGUCAGAGCCCGUUAACGGGUGAUGGCGUGCCUUUUGUAGAAUGAACCGGCGAGUUACGAUCCCGUGCAAGGUUAAGCAGAAGAUGCGGAGCCGCAGCGAAAGCGAGUCUGAAUAGGGCGCAUGAGUACGUGGUCGUAGACCCGAAACCAGGUGAUCUACCCAUGUCCAGGGUGAAGUUCAGGUAACACUGAAUGGAGGCCCGAACCCACGCACGUUGAAAAGUGCGGGGAUGAGGUGUGGGUAGGGGUGAAAUGCCAAUCGAACCUGGAGAUAGCUGGUUCUCUCCGAAAUAGCUUUAGGGCUAGCCUCAAGGUAAGAGUCUCGGAGGUAGAGCACUGAUUGGACUAGGGGCCCCUACCGGGUUACCGAAUUCAGUCAAACUCCGAAUGCCGAUGACUUAUCCUUGGGAGUCAGACUGCGAGUGAUAAGAUCCGUAGUCGAAAGGGAAACAGCCCAGACCGCCAGCUAAGGUCCCAAAGUAUACGUUAAGUGGAAAAGGAUGUGGAGUUGCUUAGACAACCAGGAUGUUGGCUUAGAAGCAGCCACCAUUUAAAGAGUGCGUAAUAGCUCACUGGUCGAGUGACUCUGCGCCGAAAAUGUACCGGGGCUAAACGUAUCACCGAAGCUGCGGACUGUUCUUACGAACAGUGGUAGGAGAGCGUUCUAAGUGCAGUGAAGUCAGACCGGAAGGACUGGUGGAGCGCUUAGAAGUGAGAAUGCCGGUAUGAGUAGCGAAAGACGGGUGAGAAUCCCGUCCACCGAAUGCCUAAGGUUUCCUGAGGAAGGCUCGUCCGCUCAGGGUUAGUCGGGACCUAAGCCGAGGCCGAAAGGCGUAGGCGAUGGACAACAGGUUGAUAUUCCUGUACCACCUCCUCACCAUUUGAGCAAUGGGGGGACGCAGGAGGAUAGGGUAAGCGCGGUAUUGGAUAUCCGCGUCCAAGCAGUUAGGCUGGGAAAUAGGCAAAUCCGUUUCCCGUGAAGGCUGAGCUGUGAUGGCGAGCGAAAUUUAGUAGCGAAGUUCCUGAUUCCACACUGCCAAGAAAAGCCUCUAGCGAGGUGAGAGGUGCCCGUACCGCAAACCGACACAGGUAGGCGAGGAGAGAAUCCUAAGGUGAUCGAGAGAACUCUCGUUAAGGAACUCGGCAAAAUGACCCCGUAACUUCGGGAGAAGGGGUGCUUCUUAGGGUGUUAAAGCCCCGAGAAGCCGCAGUGAAUAGGCCCAGGCGACUGUUUAGCAAAAACACAGGUCUCUGCGAAGCCGUAAGGCGAAGUAUAGGGGCUGACGCCUGCCCGGUGCUGGAAGGUUAAGAGGAGCGCUUAGCGUAAGCGAAGGUGCGAAUUGAAGCCCCAGUAAACGGCGGCCGUAACUAUAACGGUCCUAAGGUAGCGAAAUUCCUUG
rnacentral:rRNA from 1 species